rnacentral:rRNA from 1 species
GAUGAACGCUGGCGGCGUGCCUAAUACAUGCAAGUCGAGCGAACGGACGAGAAGCUUGCUUCUCUGAUGUUAGCGGCGGACGGGUGAGUAACACGUGGAUAACCUACCUAUAAGACUGGGAUAACUUCGGGAAACCGGAGCUAAUACCGGAUGAUAUUUUGAACCGCAUGGUUCAAAAGUGAAAGACGGUCUUGCUGUCACUUCUAGAUGGAUCCGCGCUGCAUUAGCUAGUUGGUAAGGUAACGGCUUACCAAGGCAACGAUGCAUAGCCGACCUGAGAGGGUGAUCGGCCACACUGGAGCUGAGACACGGUCCAGACUCCUACGGGAGGCAGCAGUAGGGAAUCUUCCGCAAUAGGCGAAAACCUGGCGGAGCAGCGCCGCGUGAGUGAUGAAGGUCUUCGGAUCGUAAUACUCUGUUAUUAGGGGUGAACAUAUGUGUAAGGAACUGUGCACAGCUUGACGGUACCUAAUCAGAAAGCCACGGCUAACUACGUG